rnacentral:lncRNA from 1 species
GUUCAUUAUCACUAUUGAGAGAAAAGAGGCAAAGUUGGGAGAUGAGAGAAAAUAGAAAGUAAGAAGAAGAAAGAAGAAUAUUCAAGAGAAAGAGAGAUGGAAAAGCUUAAGAGUGAGAUUAGAGUGAAGAUUUAAGUUGCUUUUGAAGGGUUAAGGUAAGAGGAAAGUUUAUAUUCACCGUUUAGAGAUUAUGAGUGAUAGAGUGUUUAUGAGUCAUGUUUGUUUAUAUGAUUCUCAUGAAUUUAGUGUUUUGUUAAGUUGAUUUUCAUGCUAUUUAAUUAUGCUAAUUAUGAGUAUGAUGAACUUUAUGAAAUUAUGUUAUUUAUAUGCUUAAACUUAUGCUUGAUGGUAUAAAAUAAGUUGUUCUUGAGAUUUCAGCUUAAAUGUGUGAAAAUCAAGAUGUUGUUGAUGAUUCUUUCUCAAAUUAUGUUCUAAUUGCUAGCUAUGUUGAUGGAAUGAUCAUGUUAAAUUUGAUGUUUGAAUUAAGUUGUGGUUUGUUGGUGAAUUUUGUGAGAAAUGAGUGACAAACCAUGAAAUGAUGUUUUGACGAAUUGAGUUUUGGGAUUAUGAGUUUUGGGUGUGGAAUUGAAUUUGGGGAAAAACGGGUUUUUAAGCUAAAAGUCAAUAUUUAGUGAUUCUAUGAAAUAAGCUAUUUUUGGGCUAAGUUAAUGGAAAUGUUUUGAUUAAGAAAUGAGGCUGAAUAGUAGGGGUUAAAUAGGCUAAGUGAUUGGGAUUGUUUCUGGUGCGAUCAGGAUCGAAAACAGUUUUGAAAACAGACUCUCGUGUGCAAAAACAUAAAAAUUCAAGAACCCUGUCUUGUCAAGGCAGCACGACCAUGCGGCCUAGGAGCACGUAUUGUGUGUAUUGUUCGCACUUGGUCAGUACAACCGUACGGCCAAUUUGCACGACCGUGCGCCCUGUACUAUGUCGGGAAACCUCAUUUUUUUUUUGUCGUUUUUAAAUUUUAAGCAUAUCAUUUGGUCCCAAACACCUAAUCUUAGUUAAUUGAUGUAUAAUUGAGUACUUAAACUUAAUUUAACUUGAUUUGGAUUGGAAUUGAAUUGUAUGGUGCAGACUUUUGAAAAUAGACGAACUUUGACAUUUUAAGAAAUAGAUAAACUUUGAAACUUAAUGAAUCACACUAAGAUAACUUGAGGAUGAUUAUGUGCUAUUGUUGUGAAGAUGAAUGGGGAUUGGUUUGAUUAUGAUAUGUAUUCUUGAAAUGUGGAUUAACUAGAAUGAAUUCUUAAUCGUCUUUAAAUGCCAAUUAUGCUAAAUGAAUGUUUGUUGUUUCUUGAGAUGAUAAAUGUUUGAUGACGAUUGCGGUGAAAUUAUUUAUUGAUGAUAAUUAACUCAUGAUGGUGUGAAUGUGUAUAUAUGUAUAAAUGAGGAUGAAUACAUGUAUAUAAAGUGGUGAAGUUAUGAUGGUGAUGUUUUGUAUGAACAUAUGUAUUUGGUGAGUUAUAUGUUCAUGCAUUCAUGGAUCUUGGAGUACGAUAUUUCAAUAUCCAAGUGGAGAUUAGGAUAAUUGUAUCCAAGUGGUGAUUUAGGAUAUUUCAAUAUCCAAGUGGAGAUAGGAUUAAUCGGUAAAAUAAUUCCGACAUCCAAAAACGGUACCGUAUGAAUAUAGAAUUGUGUCUAGAGCAUUGCAUGCAUAUGAAUCUAUGUGAAAUGAUUUAUACUUGUUGAAUCUAUGUGAAUUUUCUUCUACAUCAACAUGUAUAUUGUAUAGUUCAUUCCCAUCAAAGUAUUAUUUGUAGUUUUAUUAUUGUUUUGAUUUGGCUAUUAUGUUCAAUUUCUUUUUUCCCAGUCCAACGAAAUUACUUUGAUUUUGUCCUGAUGAAGAAUUAGAAUUAUGAAGAUGAACAAAAACACACCAACCAAGAAACGUGAAUUGAGAGAGAAGAUGACAGCAACAAAAACAAUUAAGGAAAAGAACCAGCGGGCCCCAAUAAGAAGCUGAGAAAGUAGAAAAUUUAAAAAUAAAAAUAAUCAUUUAAAGGUCAAUUACGUCAUUGUCCCUUACUAUUGUCUUUUCCAAAAAAUAAAAAAUAGGUUUUUUAGUCUAAAACAAAAGGUGCACCU